rnacentral:rRNA from 1 species
UGAGUAACACGUGGGCAAUCUGCCCUGCACUUCGGGAUAAGCCUGGGAAACUGGGUCUAAUACCGGAUAGGACCUUUAGGCGCAUGCCUUUUGGUGGAAAGCUUUUGCGGUGUGGGAUGGGCCCGCGGCCUAUCAGCUUGUUGGUGGGGUGAUGGCCUACCAAGGCGACGACGGGUAGCCGGCCUGAGAGGGUGUCCGGCCACACUGGGACUGAGAUACGGCCCAGACUCCUACGGGAGGCAGCAGUGGGGAAUAUUGCACAAUGGGCGCAAGCCUGAUGCAGCGACGCCGCGUGGGGGAUGACGGCCUUCGGGUUGUAAACCUCUUUCACCAUCGACGAAGGUCCGGGUUUUCUCGGAUUGACGGUAGGUGGAGAAGAAGCACCGGCCAACUACGUGCCAGCAGCCGCGGUAAUACGUAGGGUGCGAGCGUUGUCCGGAAUUACUGGGCGUAAAGAGCUCGUAGGUGGUUUGUCGCGUUGUUCGUGAAAUCUCACGGCUUAACUGUGAGCGUGCGGGCGAUACGGGCAGACUAGAGUACUGCAGGGGAGACUGGAAUUCCUGGUGUAGCGGUGGAAUGCGCAGAUAUCAGGAGGAACACCGGUGGCGAAGGCGGGUCUCUGGGCAGUAACUGACGCUGAGGAGCGAAAGCGUGGGGAGCGAACAGGAUUAGAUACCCUGGUAGUCCACGCCGUAAACGGUGGGUACUAGGUGUGGGGUUUCCUUCCUUGGGAUCCGUGCCGUAGCUAACGCAUUAAGUACCCCGCCUGGGGGAGUACGGGCCGCAAGGCUAAAACUCAAAGGAAUUUGACGGGGGGCCCGCACAA